CCCAGAAAGGGAUUUCUCCAUCAGCCUAGAUCCCAGAAUGAAGAUUAGGUAGAAUCAAAGAGCCAAGAGCCUCAGCCAACGAUGAAGGUUCUCUCUGUUUGCAUCCUGUUCAUCUGCUGGCAUUCCUUCAGGCUCCUUACGCCGACAUAGUCUGUCCUGUAUUGAACAGUGUCCUCCAAGAGGAAUGUUGAAGUCCUCAGCCCUGGUAGCUGUGAUGUGAUCUCACAUGGGAAUUGGGUCUUAGUAGAUGUAAUCGAAUUAAGAUGAGGUUAUUAGGGUGGAUCCUAAUCUGACCGGUGGUCUUACAAGAAAAGGAAAGCACCAUGUAAAGAUUCACACAGAGACAAGAUAGCCAUGUGACAACGGAGAGAGAAGUUGGAGUGAUGCAUCUUCAAAUCCAGGAACGCUAAGGAUUGAUGGCAAAUACCAGAAGCUAGAAGAGGAAGAGGCAAGGAAGGAUUCUCCUCUACAGAUUUUAGAGAGAACAUGGCCCUGACAACUGCUCGAUUUCAGACUUCUAGCCUCCAGAACUACGAGAUAAUAAAUUUUUGUUUUAUUAAGCCACCUAGUUUGUGGUACUUUGUCACAGCAGCCCUAGGAAAUUAAGAACAGGUCCCACAGGACGGCCUGAAAAUCAAAGUGCUUUUAGUAUGUUCUCUAUUGGAAGUUGCUUCCUCCAGCUAAUAACAUCUAGACUCAUGUGUGAGCG
rnacentral:lncRNA from 10 species